rnacentral:rRNA from 1 species
UACAGGGGGUGCAAACGUUGCUCGGAAUCAUUGGGCGUAAAGCGCACGUAGGCGGUCUGUUAUGUCGGAUGUGAAAGCCCUUGGCUCAACUGAGGAAGUGCAUCCGAAACUGGCAGGCUAGAGUACUAAAGAGGAUCGCGGAAUUCCCGGUGUAGAGGUGAAAUUCGUAGAUAUCGGGAGGAACACCGGUUGCCAAGGCGGCGAUCUGGGUAGAUACUGACGCUGAGGUGCGAAAGCGUGGGGAGCAAACAGG